UGGGGAAUAUUGCACAAUGGGCGAAAGCCUGAUGCAGCGACGCCGCGUGAGGGAUGACGGCCUUCGGGUUGUAAACCUCUUUCAGCAGGGAAGAAGCGAAAGUGACGGUACCUGCAGAAGAAGCGCCGGCUAACUACGUGCCAGCAGCCGCGGUAAUACGUAGGGCGCAAGCGUUGUCCGGAAUUAUUGGGCGUAAAGAGCUCGUAGGCGGUUAGUCGCGUCUGCUGUGAAAACUCGAGGCUCAACCUCGGGCUUGCAGUGGGUACGGGCUGACUAGAGUGCGGUAGGGGUGACUGGAAUUCCUGGUGUAGCGGUGGAAUGCGCAGAUAUCAGGAGGAACACCGAUGGCGAAGGCAGGUCACGGGGCCGCAACUGACGCUGAGGAGCGAAAGCAUGGGGAGCGAACAGGAUUAGAUAGCCCUGGUAGUCCAUGCCGUAAACGUUGGGCACUAGGUGUGGGGUCCAUUCCACGGAUUCCGUGCCGCAGCAAA
rnacentral:rRNA from 1 species